CUUUUCAUAUUUCCCAAAUUUACAUUUAAAUCUUCUCUCACCCCUGUACAUUCUCCUCUCUCAUUUCUAAGCCCUAAAUUCUGCUGCGAUUCCACCGUCUCCACAAUCCGGCCAAGCUUCGCCGGACCUUCACCGGAGUCCAUCAAAUCUCUUAGUUCAAGCAAAGAACCUUCAAGUUUUGAUACUCUUUGCUGUUGUUGGUGGUGGUGGUGUUGUUUAUCUUCACAUUUGAACAACAUCUUGAAGGCAAUUGCACCGGUUACAAUAUCGUCACAAUGAUGUCUUGCCCGAUGUUUCGUUGCUUUAAGUGUUGGGUUUUUAUUAAGUGUAAUAACUAUAGUGAAUGACACUUAUGAAAGUGUGGAGGUUAUUAUGUGAACUUUUUUUGUUGUUGAAAAAUUGAAGUAAGUGUGGA